CAACUACUCCCUCUGUCCCAAAUUUCUUGUCUUAGAUUUGUCUAGAUACGGAUGUAUCUAAUACUAAAAUGUGACUUGAUACAUCUGUAUCUAGACAAAUCUAAGACAAGAAUUUUGGGAAGGAGGGAGUACUUU
rnacentral:pre_miRNA from 1 species